CAUGCCCCUACAGGCAGUACAGGUGUGGCUUGGCAUCAGUAGAGGCAGAGAGAGGGGCUGUGUCUCUGCUCAGGGUUCUGACCUGUGAACACCUGAAUGAUUAGUAGCCUAACAUU
rnacentral:snoRNA from 1 species